GCGUUUUUUGAGCUAUGCGAUCGGCUGGUACUCGCGAUGCAUCUAGAUUUCCUCCGCUUAUUGAUAUGCUCCUCCGUAGGUGAACCUGCGGAAGGAUCAUUACCGAGUGCGGGCCCCUCGGGGCCCAACCUCCCACCCGUGUUGCCCGAACCUAUGUUGCCUCGGCGGGCCCCGCGCCCGCCGACGGCCCCCCUGAACGCUGUCUGAAGUUGCAGUCUGAGACCUAUAACGAAAUUAGUUAAAACUUUCAACAACGGAUCUCUUGGUUCCGGCAUCGAUGAAGAACGCAGCGAAAUGCGAUAACUAAUGUGAAUUGCAGAAUUCAGUGAAUCAUCGAGUCUUUGAACGCACAUUGCGCCCUCUGGUAUUCCGGAGGGCAUGCCUGUCCGAGCGUCAUUGCUGCCCUCAAGCCCGGCUUGUGUGUUGGGCCCCGUCCCCCCCGCCGGGGGGACGGGCCCGAAAGGCAGCGGCGGCACCGCGUCCGGUCCUCGAGCGUAUGGGGCUUCGUCACCCGCUCUAGUAGGCCCGGCCGGCGCCAGCCGACCCCCAACCUUUAAUUAUCUCAGGUUGACCUCGGAUCAGGUAGGGAUACCCGCUGAACUUAAGCAUAUCAAUAAGCGGAGGAA
rnacentral:rRNA from 1 species